rnacentral:rRNA from 1 species
GACGAACGCUGGCGGCGUGCUUAACACAUGCGAGUCGAACGGAAAGGCCCUGCUUUUGUGGGGUGCUCGAGUGGCGAACGGGUGAGUAACACGUGAGUAACCUGCCCUUGACUUUGGGAUAACUUCAGGAAACUGGGGCUAAUACCGGAUAGGAGCUCCUGCUGCAUGGUGGGGGUUGGAAAGUUUCGGCGGUUGGGGAUGGACUCGCGGCUUAUCAGCUUGUUGGUGGGGUAGUGGCUUACCAAGGCUUUGACGGGUAGCCGGCCUGAGAGGGUGACCGGCCACAUUGGACUGAGAUACGGCCCAGACUCCUACGGGAGGCAGCAGUGGGGAAUAUUGCACAAUGGGCGGAAGCCUGAUGCAGCAACGCCGCGUGCGGGAUGACGGCCUUCGGGUUGUAAACCGCUUUCGCCUGUGACGAAGCGUGAGUGACGGUAAUGGGUAAAGAAGCACCGGCUAACUACGUG